rnacentral:pre_miRNA from 1 species
UGAAAGACAUGGGUAGUGAGAUGUUCUGUUACUGAAUACCAUCUUACUACCUUGUCCUUCCAG